rnacentral:rRNA from 1 species
UACGAAGGGGGCUAGCGUUGCUCGGAAUUACUGGGCGUAAAGCGCACGUAGGCGGAUUGUUAAGUCGGGGGUGAAAUCCUGGAGCUCAACUCCAGAACUGCCUUCGAUACUGGCGAUCUCGAGUUCGGGAGAGGUGAGUGGAAUUCCUAGUGUAGAGGUGAAAUUCGUAGAUAUUAGGAAGAACACCAGUGGCGAAGGCGGCUCACUGGUCCGGUACUGACGCUGAGGUGCGAAAGCGUGGGGAGCAAACAGG